rnacentral:rRNA from 1 species
UGCCCGAUGGAGGGGGAUAACCACUGGAAACGGUGGCUAAUACCGCAUAACGUCGCAAGACCAAAGUGGGGGACCUUCGGGCCUCACACCAUCGGAUGAACCCAGAUGGGAUUAGCUAGUAGGUGGGGUAAUGGCUCACCUAGGCGACGAUCCCUAGCUGGUCUGAGAGGAUGACCAGCCACACUGGAACUGAGACACGGUCCAGACUCCUACGGGAGGCAGCAGUGGGGAAUAUUGCACAAUGGGCGCAAGCCUGAUGCAGCCAUGCCGCGUGUGUGAAGAAGGCCUUCGGGUUGUAAAGCACUUUCAGCGAGGAGGAAGGUGGUGAGCUUAAUACGCUCAUCAAUUGACGUUACUCGCAGAAGAAGCACCGGCUAACUCCGUGCCAGCAGCCGCGGUAAUACGGAGGGUGCAAGCGUUAAUCGGAAUUACUGGGCGUAAAGCGCACGCAGGCGGUUUGUUAAGUCAGAUGUGAAAUCCCCGAGCUUAACUUGGGAACUGCAUUUGAAACUGGCAGGCUAGAGUCUCGUAGAGGGGGGUAGAAUUCCAGGUGUAGCGGUGAAAUGCGUAGAGAUCUGGAGGAAUACCGGUGGCGAAGGCGGCCCCCUGGACGAAGACUGACGCUCAGGUGCGAAAGCGUGGGGAGCAAACAGGAUUAGAUACCCUGGUAGUCCACGCCGUAAACGAUGUCGAUUUGGAGGCUGUGCCCUUGAGGCGUGGCUUCCGGAGCUAACGUGUUAAAUCGACCGCCUGGGGAGUACGGCCGCAAGGUUAAAACUCAAAUGAAUUGACGGGGGCCCGCACAAGCGGUGGAGCAUGUGGUUUAAUUCGAUGCAACGCGAAGAACCUUACCUACUCUUGACAUCCAGAGA